UACGUAGGGGGCAAGCGUUGUCCGGAAUCAUUGGGCGUAAAGAGCUCGUAGGCGGCUUGUCACGUCGGGUGUGAAAGCCCGGGGCUUAACCCCGGGUCUGCAUUCGAUACGGGCUGGCUAGAGUGUGGUAGGGGAGAUCGGAAUUCCUGGUGUAGCGGUGAAAUGCGCAGAUAUCAGGAGGAACACCGGUGGCGAAGGCGGAUCUCUGGGCCAUUACUGACGCUGAGGAGCGAAAGCGUGGGGAGCGAACAGG
rnacentral:rRNA from 1 species